AUGAAAAGAGGUAAGAUGUGAAGCAUGGAGGUAGGAAGUCCUACCCUUUCCUACCUCCAUGAUGUGAAGUGGGGGGCAGGGAGACAGGCGGUUUUUGCUAGCAGUCCUUGCAAAUGAAAUCACCAUGAAGCACGUUUCAGCCAGAAUGCAGGAGGUUUCCUUAACUUUGUUUUCAGAGACGAAGGUAUUGAUGUUGCAAGAAAUAAAUUGCAAUCACAGCUCUGCAAAUCCUCGAAUAACGUUAUAGAAUCAACAAGAAUUGAUUCUUAAUGGAAUCUAAUCGGAAAUGGAAAAGGGCUCCUGGGAUUUUUAAAGUACACCAAUUACAAUCCGAUCUGAUUAGAAUGUCUUUCUGUUUGGAUGUUAGCGUCACUUGGAAGCGUUAAAUUCUGCUAAGUGAAGCGUGAAGGAUUGAUAAAUGGGUAAGUAAAGAAAUUGCAUUAGCUUUAAUUUAAAAGUCUUAAUGAUCAUUUAGUGAAAUUUUUCAUGUAGCGUUAAAAAAUAUGCUGUUGCUGAACUUUUAUCAAAAUAUGCACGUGGAUACAGAAUUUUGAAUGACGUCGCCAUUUUGAUUACAAAAUUGUAAUUUUCUAUUGCAACGGCUGAACAAAUACCAA